GAGGGUUAAAGAGUACGUGAAAUUGUUGAAAGGGAAGCGCCCAUGGCCAGGCUUGGGCCCGGUGAAUCACCCAGCGUUCUCGCUGGUGCACUUUGCCGGGCACAGACCAGCAUCGGUUUGGCGCGGGGGACAAAGGCUUCGGGAACGUGGCUCCCUCGGGAGUGUUAUAGCCCGCUGCGCAAUACCCUGCGCCGGACUGAGGUACGCGCAUCGCAAGGAUGCUGGCGUAAUGGUCAUCAGCGACCCGUCUUGAAACACGGACCAAGGAGUCGUCUUCGUAUGCGAGUGUUCGGGUGUCAAACCCCUACGCGGAAUGAAAGUGAACGCAGGUGAGAGCUUCGGCGCAUCAUCGACCGAUCCUGAUGUUCUCGGAUGGAUUUGAGUAGGAGCAUACGGGGCCGGACCCGAAAGAAGGUGAACUAUGCCUGUAUAGGGUGAAGCCAGAGGAAACUCUGGUGGAGGCUCGCAGCGGUUCUGACGUGCGAAUCGAUCGUCAAAUAUGGGCAUGGGGGCGAAAGACUAAUCGAACCUUCUAGUAGCUGGUUUC
rnacentral:rRNA from 1 species